UUUUUGAUAAUAAUUUAAAGUCUAAUCUGCCCACUGAUAUGUAUAUAUUAAAGGGCUGCAGUAUAUUGACUGUACAAAGGUAGCAUAAUCAUUAGUCUUUUAAUUGAAGACUUGUAUGAAAGAUUUGAUGAAAUAUAAACUGUCUCUGAUUUAUUUUUAGAAAUUAAUUUUUUAGUUAAAAAGCUAAAAUAAAAUUAAAAGACGAGAAGACCCUAUAGAGUUUUAUAUUUAGUUUAUUUAAUAUUAAAUAUAUAAUUAAAUUAUAUUAAAAAAAUAAAAUAUUGUGUUGGGGUGAUAGAAAAAUUUAAUAAACUUUUUUUUGUAAUUAUACAUAAAUAAGUGAUUAAUUGAUCCAUUUUUAGUGAUUAUAAGAAAAAAUUACCUUAGGGAUAACAGCGUAAUAUUUUUUUUUAGUACAUAUAAAAAAAAAAGUUUGCGACCUCGAUGUUGGAUUAAGAUAAAAUUUAAAUGCAAAAGUUUAAAAUUUUGAUCUGU
rnacentral:rRNA from 1 species